GCAUGCUUAUCGGAGUGUCU
rnacentral:rRNA from 1 species